AAGAAAUAACWAUACGGGGCUUAAUGUCUUGUAAUUGGAAUGAUGGGAAUUUAAACCUCUUCCAGAGUAUCAAUUGGAGGGCAAGUCUGGUGCCAGCAGCCGCGGUAAUUCCAGCUCCAAUAGCGUAUAUUAAAAUUGUUGCAGUUAAAAAGCUCGUAGUUGAAUUUCUGCUGCAUUUCAUUUCUCUUUCUGAGUUUGUUUUUGCGGCUUAUUUCGGUUUGAUUUUUUCUUUCCGGAUGAUUACUUUGAGAAAAUUAGAGUGCUCAAAGCAGGCUUUUGCCUUGAAUAGUUUAGCAUGGAAUAAUAAAGUAGGACUUUGGUUCUAUUUUGUUGGUUUUAGGUACCAAAGUAAUGGUUAAUAGGAACAGUUGGGGGCAUUCGUAUUUAACUGUCAGAGGUGAA
rnacentral:rRNA from 1 species